rnacentral:rRNA from 1 species
GGGUUGUGAGGUUAAGCGACUAAGCGUACACGGUGGAUGCCCUGGCAGUCAGAGGCGAUGAAGGACGUGCUAAUCUGCGAUAAGCGUCGGUAAGGUGAUAUGAACCGUUAUAACCGGCGAUUUCCGAAUGGGGAAACCCAGUGUGUUUCGACACACUAUCAUUAACUGAAUCCAUAGGUUAAUGAGGCGAACCGGGGGAACUGAAACAUCUAAGUACCCCGAGGAAAAGAAAUCAACCGAGAUUCCCCAGUAGCGGCGAGCGAACGGGGAGCAGCCCAGAGCCUGAAUCAGUGUGUGUGUUAGUGGAAGCGUCUGGAAAGGCGCGCGAUACAGGGUGACAGCCCCGUACACAAAAAUGCACAUGCUGUGAGCUCGAUGAGUAGGGCGGGACACGUGGUAUCCUGUCUGAAUAUGGGGGGACCAUCCUCCAAGGCUAAAUACUCCUGACUGACCGAUAGUGAACCAGUACCGUGAGGGAAAGGCGAAAAGAACCCCGGCGAGGGGAGUGAAAAAGAACCUGAAACCGUGUACGUACAAGCAGUGGGAGCACGCUUAGGCGUGUGACUGCGUACCUUUUGUAUAAUGGGUCAGCGACUUAUAUUCUGUAGCAAGGUUAACCGAAUAGGGGAGCCGAAGGGAAACCGAGUCUUAACUGGGCGUUAAGUUGCAGGGUAUAGACCCGAAACCCGGUGAUCUAGCCAUGGGCAGGUUGAAGGUUGGGUAACACUAACUGGAGGACCGAACCGACUAAUGUUGAAAAAUUAGCGGAUGACUUGUGGCUGGGGGUGAAAGGCCAAUCAAACCGGGAGAUAGCUGGUUCUCCCCGAAAGCUAUUUAGGUAGCGCCUCGUGAAUUCAUCUCCGGGGGUAGAGCACUGUUUCGGCAAGGGGGUCAUCCCGACUUACCAACCCGAUGCAAACUGCGAAUACCGGAGAAUGUUAUCACGGGAGACACACGGCGGGUGCUAACGUCCGUCGUGAAGAGGGAAACAACCCAGACCGCCAGCUAAGGUCCCAAAGUCAUGGUUAAGUGGGAAACGAUGUGGGAAGGCCCAGACAGCCAGGAUGUUGGCUUAGAAGCAGCCAUCAUUUAAAGAAAGCGUAAUAGCUCACUGGUCGAGUCGGCCUGCGCGGAAGAUGUAACGGGGCUAAACCAUGCACCGAAGCUGCGGCAGCGACGCUUAUGCGUUGUUGGGUAGGGGAGCGUUCUGUAAGCCUGCGAAGGUGUGCUGUGAGGCAUGCUGGAGGUAUCAGAAGUGCGAAUGCUGACAUAAGUAACGAUAAAGCGGGUGAAAAGCCCGCUCGCCGGAAGACCAAGGGUUCCUGUCCAACGUUAAUCGGGGCAGGGUGAGUCGACCCCUAAGGCGAGGCCGAAAGGCGUAGUCGAUGGGAAACAGGUUAAUAUUCCUGUACUUGGUGUUACUGCGAAGGGGGACGGAGAAGGCUAUGUUGGCCGGGCGACGGUUGUCCCGGUUUAAGCGUGUAGGCUGGUUUUCCAGGCAAAUCCGGAAAAUCAAGGCUGAGGCGUGAUGACGAGGCACUACGGUGCUGAAGCAACAAAUGCCCUGCUUCCAGGAAAAGCCUCUAAGCAUCAGGUAACAUCAAAUCGUACCCCAAACCGACACAGGUGGUCAGGUAGAGAAUACCAAGGCGCUUGAGAGAACUCGGGUGAAGGAACUAGGCAAAAUGGUGCCGUAACUUCGGGAGAAGGCACGCUGAUAUGUAGGUGAAGUCCCUCGCGGAUGGAGCUGAAAUCAGUCGAAGAUACCAGCUGGCUGCAACUGUUUAUUAAAAACACAGCACUGUGCAAACACGAAAGUGGACGUAUACGGUGUGACGCCUGCCCGGUGCCGGAAGGUUAAUUGAUGGGGUCAGCGCAAGCGAAGCUCUUGAUCGAAGCCCCGGUAAACGGCGGCCGUAACUAUAACGGUCCUAAGGUAGCGAAAUUCCUUGUCGGGUAAGUUCCGACCUGCACGAAUGGCGUAAUGAUGGCCAGGCUGUCUCCACCCGAGACUCAGUGAAAUUGAACUCGCUGUGAAGAUGCAGUGUACCCGCGGCAAGACGGAAAGACCCCGUGAACCUUUACUAUAGCUUGACACUGAACAUUGAGCCUUGAUGUGUAGGAUAGGUGGGAGGCUUUGAAGUGUGGACGCCAGUCUGCAUGGAGCCGGCCUUGAAAUACCACCCUUUAAUGUUUGAUGUUCUAACGUGGACCCGUAAUCCGGGUUGCGGACAGUGUCUGGUGGGUAGUUUGACUGGGGCGGUCUCCUCCUAAAGAGUAACGGAGGAGCACGAAGGUUGGCUAAUCCUGGUCGGACAUCAGGAGGUUAGUGCAAUGGCAUAAGCCAGCUUGACUGCGAGCGUGACGGCGCGAGCAGGUGCGAAAGCAGGUCAUAGUGAUCCGGUGGUUCUGAAUGGAAGGGCCAUCGCUCAACGGAUAAAAGGUACUCCGGGGAUAACAGGCUGAUACCGCCCAAGAGUUCAUAUCGACGGCGGUGUUUGGCACCUCGAUGUCGGCUCAUCACAUCCUGGGGCUGAAGUAGGUCCCAAGGGUAUGGCUGUUCGCCAUUUAAAGUGGUACGCGAGCUGGGUUUAGAACGUCGUGAGACAGUUCGGUCCCUAUCUGCCGUGGGCGCUGGAGAACUGAGGGGGGCUGCUCCUAGUACGAGAGGACCGGAGUGGACGCAUCACUGGUGUUCGGGUUGUCAUGCCAAUGGCACUGCCCGGUAGCUAAAUGCGGAAGAGAUAAGUGCUGAAAGCAUCUAAGCACGAAACUUGCCCCGAGAUGAGUUCUCCCUGACUCCUUGAGAGUCCUGAAGGAACGUUGAAGACGACGACGUUGAUAGGCCGGGUGUGUAAGCGCAGCGAUGCGUUGAGCUAACCGGUACUAAUGAACCGUGAGGCUUAACCUUACAACGCCGAAGGUGUUU